rnacentral:pre_miRNA from 1 species
GCUGGUCAAAAGGAACCAAGGCCGUCUUUCCUGGAGGUUUGGUCCCCUUCAACCAGCUA